CCUAUUUUAUUUGGGAAUUAAAGAAAUCAAAUUAAAUACAAUAGUUAAAAUGGGAAAGGGAGGUUGUCAUCUUUUUAUUCUAUUGAUUAUUUUCCUUUAUUGAAGACAAUUAAAUAAAAAUAAUUAGGAAAAAGGAAUUGAAUGGGAAACUUACCCAUUCCCAUUAGGCUAGUUACAUCUUUAGGGUUAGAUAAAAAGGGAAGAAAGGAAGAGAAGAGCCAUUUUGUGCUCCUUGGGACCGACGGCUAGAGAGAGAGAGAGGGAGAGAGAGAGAGAGGUUGCGUGAAAGAGAGAGAAGGAGAAGGAGAAAGAAAGAUGAAGAAGGAGGAGAAGAGAGAAAGGAUUCGAAAUCCAUAGGUGCCAACAAAGGAGAAUCAACCUAGUAGGAGUAAUUAUUUUCAAAGAGGAAGCUCGUUGUGAAGUUUGUUCCAUUAUUGCUUUGCUCGGACCUGAGUGUGAUGUGAGGAGUUCCGACGUCAGAGUGUGUAUGGCGGGGGGUAUCCUAUGGAUGAACAAACGAUCAACUUAAACGCUGGAUUUUAAAGAACGAUGUUAUGGACUUCAAUUUUAAAACUAUUAGUGGGACUUAAACUUUAUUUAUUGUAAACGUUGCAUAAGUACUCUUAUUUUUAUUUUAAACUAUUGGGCCCAACUUGCAUGUUUAUCAAGGCCCCACUGGAUUUUUCAUAUGUUAAGUGGCUUUCUUCUAUAAUUUUAUGAGUAUGGAGAUUUUUUACAAAGUAGUAGUUUACGUCGUUUUAACAACCUCGCGGGUGAUGCAUCGCUGGCUGGGUGUUUUUUCUCCCAGGCAGUUCUAGGCG